rnacentral:rRNA from 1 species
AGUCGAACGGUAGCACAGAGGAGCUUGCUCCUUGGGUGACGAGUGGCGGACGGGUGAGGAAUAUAUCGGAAUCUACCCAAUCGUGGGGGAUAACGUAGGGAAACUUACGCUAAUACCGCAUACGAUCUGAGGAUGAAAGCGGCGGACCGCAAGGCGUCGCGCGAUUGGAUGAGCCGAUAUCCGAUUAGCUAGUUGGUGAGGUAAUGGCCCACCAAGGCAACGAUCGGUAGCUGGUCUGAGAGGAUGAUCAGCCACACUGGAACUGAGACACGGUCCAGACUCCUACGGGAGGCAGCAGUGGGGAAUAUUGGACAAUGGGCGCAAGCCUGAUCCAGCCAUGCCGCGUGUGUGAAGAAGGCCUUCGGGUUGUAAAGCACUUUUGUUGGGGAAGAAAAGCCGUCGGUUAAUACCCGGUGGUGAUGACGGUACCCAAAGAAUAAGCACCGGCUAACUUCGUGCCAGCAGCCGCGGUAAUACGAAGGGUGCAAGCGUUACUCGGAAUUACUGGGCGUAAAGCGUGCGUAGGUGGUUUGUUAAGUCAGAUGUGAAAGCCCCGGGCUCAACCUGGGAAUUGCAUUUGAUACUGGCAGACUAGAGUGAGGUAGAGGAGAGUGGAAUUCCCGGUGUAGCAGUGAAAUGCGUAGAGAUCGGGAGGAACAUCAGUUGCGAAGGCGGCUCUCUGGACCAUCACUGACACUGAGGCACGAAAGCGUGGGGAGCAAACAGGAUUAGAUACYCUGGUAGUCCACGCYCUAAACGAUGCGAACUGGACGUUGGGAUCAAUUGAGAUUUCAGUGUCGAAGCUAACGCGUUAAGUUCGCCG